rnacentral:rRNA from 1 species
CCUACGGGGGGCUGCAGUCGAGAAUCUUCCUCAAUGGGCGAAAGCCUGAAGGAGCGACGCCGCGUGCAGGAUGAAGGUUUUCGGAUCGUAAACUGCUUUUCUCAGGGACGAAUUUGUGACUGUACCUGAGGAAUAAGAGGUUGCUAACUCUGUGCCAGCAGCAGCGGUAAUACAGAGACCUCAAGCGUUAUCCGGAUUUACUGGGUGUAAAGGGUCCGCAGGCGGAACAGCGGGUCAGGGGUAAAAUCUUCGAGCUCAACUCGAAGCCCGCUCCUGAAACUACUGUUCUAGAGUUCGGAAGAGGCAAUCGGAAUUGCUGGUGUAGUCGUAAUAAGCGUUGAUAUCAGCAAGAACACCAAAUGCGAAGGCAGAUUGCUAGUACGUAACUGACGCUCAGGGACGAAAGCGUGGGGAGCAAACAGGCUUAGAUACCCCAGUAGUC